rnacentral:rRNA from 1 species
CUCCGCGAAAUCUAUUUAGGUAGAGCGUCGGAUGUAUUCUUCGGGGGGUAGAGCACUGGAUGGAUGCGGGCUGCGCGAGUGGUACCAAUUCUAACCAAACUCCGAAUACCCGAAAGAACUGUCCGGCAGACACACAGCGGGUGCUAACGUCCGUUGUGAAAAGGGAAACAACCCUAACCGCCAGCUAAGGUCCCCAAAUAACGGCUAAGUGGGAAACGAUGUGGGAUUGCUUUGACAACCAGGAUGUUGGCUUAGAAGCAGCCAUCAUUUAAAGAAAGCGUAACAGCUCACUGGUCAAGCGAUCCUGCGCGGAAAAUGUAACGGGGCUCAAGCCGUUUACCGAAGCUGCGGACUCGAGAGAGUGGUAGCGGAGCGUUCCCUACGCCAGUGAAGCAGAGGCGUGAGCCUCUGUGGAGGUAUGGGAAGUGAGAAUGCUGACAUGAGUAGCGACAAAGAGGGUGAGAUGCCCUCUCGCCGAAAGACCAAGGGUUCCUG